rnacentral:rRNA from 1 species
CGCGUAGGCGGAUUGUUAAGUCGGGGGUGAAAUCCCGGGGCUCAACCCCGGAACUGCCUCCGAUACUGGCAGUCUAGAGUUCGAGAGAGGUGAGUGGAAUUCCGAGUGUAGAGGUGAAAUUCGUAGAUAUUCGGAGGAACACCAGUGGCGAAGGCGGCUCACUGGCUCGAUACUGACGCUGCGGCGCGAAAGCGUGGGGAGCAAACAGGAUUAGAUACCCUGGUAGUCC